GCUGCUGGAUCAUUACA
rnacentral:rRNA from 1 species